GUCUUUUUGAGUUAUUUUUAAAGUCUGACCUGCCCACUGAAAUUUUAAAUGGCCGCAGUAUUCUAACUGUGCAAAGGUAGCAUAAUCAUUAGUCUUUUAAUUGAAGGCUGGUAUGAACGGUUGGACGAGGUAUAAGCUGUUUCAUAUGAAUUUAUAAUAGAAUUUUAUAUUUUAGUCAAAAAGCUGAAAUGUAGUUAAAAGACGAGAAGACCCUAUAAAUCUUUAUAUUUUGUGUAAUUUAAAUUUUUUUGAUUUGUUUUAUUUUUAUUAUAUUAAAUAUUUUGUUGGGGUGAUGUUAAAAUUUAAUGAACUUUUAAUUGUUUUAAAUCAUUAAUUUAUGAAUUAUUGAUCCGUUAAUAGUGAUUAUAAGAUUAAGUUACUUUAGGGAUAACAGCGUAAUUUUUUUGGAGAGUUCUUAUCGAUAAAAAAGUUUGCGACCUCGAUGUUGGAUUAAGAUAUAGUUUUAGGUGUAGUCGCUUAAAUUUUAAGUCUGUUCGACUUUUAAAUUCUU
rnacentral:rRNA from 1 species